rfam:Oryza sativa Japonica Group DNA, chromosome 12, cultivar: Nipponbare, complete sequence.
AAUAAAUGCAGUUUUAGCAAUGUUUAUGUCCAACAUUUGACCGUUCGUCUUAUUUGAAAAAAGAUUAUGAUUAGUAUUUUUAUUGUUAUUAGAUCAUAAAACAUGAAUAGUACUUUAUAUGUGGCUAAUUUUUUAAAUAUUUUUUAAAUAAGACGGAUGGUCAAAGCGUUGAGCACAUAUAUCUAUGGCUGUACUUAUU